rnacentral:misc_RNA from 1 species
GCGUGAUAUAUAAAGUAGAUAAAUAAGAGUUGCUACAUGUAUAAUCUCUAUGAAUCAUCGUCGUCGUCGUCGUCGUCACCAUCACAUUGGUGGGUGGCCUCUUCUAUUAUGGUCUCCAGAGCAGGAGAGCUUGAUGGCUUACUAGGAUAAAUGAUGGGAGGUGGAGCUACUUCAAUCCAAGAAAGGAAACUUGUGAUCUCCUUUGCCAUUGACGCUUUCUGAACAGUUUCUGACAAAUAGGAAAUUUAAUUGACUGAACCCUUCCUUUCUUCCUUUCUAUGUUAUGGAAGAAAAGAUAGCUAGGAUAUUAAUACAAGAUGAACAAAGUGUUGCUCAAAGGACAGGACAACAGAAACCUAAUUGGUGAAGGCUUUUAUAAGGGAAGAGGGACACCAAAAAUA